AUGAACGCUGGCGGCGUGCCUAAUACAUGCACGUCGCGCGAACAGACGAGGAGCUUGCUCCUCUGACGUUAGCGGCGGACGGGUGAGUAACACGUGGAUAACCUACCUAUAAGACUGGGAUAACUUCGGGAAACCGGAGCUAAUACCGGAUAAUAUAUUGAACCGCAUGGUUCAAUAGUGAAAGACGGUUUUGCUGUCACUUAUAGAUGGAUCCGCGCCGCAUUAGCUAGUUGGUAAGGUAACGGCUUACCAAGGCAACGAUGCGUAGCCGACCUGAGAGGGUGAUCGGCCACACUAGAACUGAGACACGGUCCAGACUCCUACGGGAGGCAGCAGUAGGGAAUCUUCCGCAAUGGGCGAAAGCUUGACGGAGCAACGCCGCGUGAGUGAUGAAGGUCUUCGGAUCGUAAAACUCUGUUAUUAGGGAAGAACAAAUGUGUAAGUAACUAUGCACGUCUUGACGGUACCUAAUCAGAAAGCCACGGCUAACUACGUG
rnacentral:rRNA from 1 species